GGAAUAUUGGACAAUGGAUGGAAAUCUGAUCCAGCCAUGCCGCGUGCAGGAAGACAGCCCUAUGGGUUGUAAACUGCUUUUAUAUGGGAGCAAUAAGGUCUACGUGUAGACUGAUGAGAGUACCAUAUGAAUAAGCAUCGGCUAACUCCGUGCCAGCAGCCGCGGUAAUACGGAGGAUGCGAGCGUUAUCCGGAUUUAUUGGGUUUAAAGGGUGCGUAGGCGGCCGAGUAAGUCAGCGGUGAAAUUUUGCAGCUUAACUGUAACAGUGCCGUUGAUACUGCAUGGCUAGGAUUUGGUUGCUGUGGGUGGAAUGUGUGGUGUAGCGGUGAAAUGCUUAGAUAUCACACAGAAUAUCAAUUGCGAAGGCAGCUCACAAAGCCAAGAUUGACGCUGAGGCACGAAAGUGUGGGGAUCAAACAGGAUUAGAUACCCUGGUAGUCCACACUGUAAACGAUGAUAACUCACUGCCGGCGAUACACAGUCGGUGGCCAAGCGAAAGCGAUAAGUUAUCCACCUGGGGAGUACGACCGCAAGGUUGAAACUCAAAGGAAUUGACGGGGGCCCGCACAAGCGGAGGAACAUGUGGUUUAAUUCGAUGAUACGCGAGGAACCUUACCCGGGCUUGAAUUGCAGAGGAAGGAUUUGGAGACAAUGACGCCCUUCGGGGCCUCUGUGAAGGUGCUGCAUGGUUGUCGUCAGCUCGUGCCGUGAGGUGUCGGCUUAAGUGCCAUAACGAGCGCAACCCUUGUUGUUAGUUACCAACAGGUAAAGCUGGGGACUCUAACGAGACUGCCACCGUAAGGUGUGAGGAAGGGGGGGAUGACGUCAAAUCAGCACGGCCC
rnacentral:rRNA from 1 species